GGUCCCAUAGCUCAGCAGGAUAGAGCGCAAAAUUCCUAAUUUUGAGGUCACUGGUUCGAAUCCAGUUGGGAUCACCA
rnacentral:tRNA from 1 species